rnacentral:rRNA from 1 species
UACGGCGGGGGCAAGCGUUGUUCGGAAUUACUGGGCGUAAAGGGCUCGUAGGCGGCCAACUAAGUCGGAUGUGAAAUCCCCAGGCUUAACCUGGGAACUGCAUCCGAUACUGGAUGGCUUGAAUCCGGGAGAGGGAUGCAGAAUUCCAGGUGUAGCGGUGAAAUGCGUAGAUAUCUGGAGGAAUACCGGUGGCGAAGGCGGCAUCCUGGACCGGCAUUGACGCUGAGUGAGCGAAAGCCAGGGGAGCAAACGGG